rnacentral:rRNA from 1 species
AUUGAACGCUGGCGGCAGGCUUAACACAUGCAAGUCGAGCGAGCGGCGGACGGGUGAGUAAUAUCUGGGAACGUGCCUGAUGGAGGGGGAUAACUACUGGAAACGGUAGCUAAUACCGCAUACCAUCAGAUCUGCCCAGAUGGGAUUAGCUAGUAGGGGGGGUAAUGGCUCACCUAGGCGACGAUCCGUAGCUGGUCUGAGAGGAUGACCAGCCACACUGGGACUGAGACACGGUCCAGACUCCUACGGGAGGCAGCAGUGGGGAAUAUUGCACAAUGGGCGCAACCCUGAUGCAGCCAUGCCGCGUGUGUGAUGAAGGCCUUCGGGUUGUAAAGUACUUUUGGCAGGGAGGCGUUACUCGCAGAAGAAGCACCGGCUAACUCCGUGCCAGCAGCCGCGGUAAUUC